rnacentral:rRNA from 1 species
GACGUAGGGCGCGAGCGUUGUCCGGAUUUAUUGGGCGUAAAGAGCUCGUAGGCGGCUUGUUGCGUCGACUGUGAAAACCCGCGGCUUAACUGCGGGCUUGCAGUUGAUACGGGCAGGCUAGAGUUCGGUAGGGGGAGACUGGAAUUCCUGGUGUAGCGGUGAAAUGCGCAGAUAUCAGGAGGAACACCGGUGGCGAAGGCGGGUCUCUGGGCCGAUACUGACGCUGAGGAGCGAAAAGCGUGGGGGAGCGAACAGG